ensembl:snRNA U6 U6 spliceosomal RNA
AUGCUCAUUUCAGUACAUAUACUAAAACUGGAAUGAUACAGAGAUUAGCACGGUCCCUGCACAAGGAUGACAUGAAAAUUUGUGAAGUGUUCCAUAUUAAA